rnacentral:lncRNA from 1 species
GCGUAUCUCUGGCAAUCUACGUGCAAUCUGGGGGGUGCCAACUAACAGUUUAUCAAGGAGGAAUUUGAUAUCAAAGAUCAUUGUUUCUUGUUCAGAAGAAUUUUUGUCACUUCUCCAAUGUACCAGAUUGACAGAGAACUGUAAAACUUCUUGUGAAGCAAGCCCCUCCAUGAAUGAAGCUAUUUCCCAAGUAUAUGACAUGUUCAUUAAGGUGAGUGUUAUGUAAAAAGCACCUUUUUGUUGCAUUUUGCACUGACAUGCAAUUCCCAAUCUUUUUUGCCCCCUCAUUUCUAUGCCGGGGCUGGUAUAAAACUUGUUUUCAGCCACAAUAUGUCCUAAAUUGCAUGAGUAUUUCAAUUCGAUAUAUGAUGGUUGCUGCAUGUGUCUUCUGCAUUUGAAGUCUACAUUGUGCAUUUUAAUCAAGUCAUUUAAGUUGACUAAUAUGGCCAAUUUAUCUGCAGAUGAAUAAUGAGAAGAUACCAAUACAGACUUUCCUUGAAGCAGUGCUAAAUCUCUGUGUUUUUGAUAAUGUAAGAUCUCGAGACUCCGAGUUUCUUCCCCUUUUUCCCAUAGCAAUAUUUUAUCUUGCCAUUUCUAUUAUUGCUUAACUACCACUUAUGGAUAUGUGAUUUGCUUCCUCACUGGUACGGAGAAAUAGCAGCACUUAAGUGUGAUCUUGUACUAAUUUCUUCAAGACUGAUACAUGACAGAAUUGAUUUGUUCACAUGUAUUUUUUAACUAACAAUAUAAACUAGGAGUGGUCCUAAUUUGCUAUUGAGUUUUUGUGAUUAUGCUGGAAGGAAAAUGAUGUUUCUAAUGCGAAUACUGAUGAACAGCAAUUUCAUUUCUACUAAGUUCCAGUUUAAACAUGUACCUUAUUGUGAAGAGUGAUGACCCUAGCGAGCAUAGAUCAGUAGGAACUAACAAUGAAUGAAGUAAUCUUCACAAAAGCUAUUUAUAACCCUUUCUGCAGCAAGUACUGAAGCAAUGCUGUACCUUUUAGCUUGUUGAUUUAUUUGUGAAUAAUAAAAGAAUCAGCAGUUAAUUUAUUUAGACUUGGGAAAAUGCUAGUAGUAAUAGCAAAAUGAUUCCACCAUCAGUUUUGAACAUCAAUAGUAGCUUCAUUCAUCACUGUUGGCUUUUGUUGAGUCCAUCAUGGCAUCCAUCACCUCAUCAUAUAUACUUAGGGAGUUGGAACAAUAACGAUGAAAUAAUACACUUAAUUUUGUCCUGCACAUUGCUGUAAUGGUUUGGCUAUAUAAAUCAGUUUAUCUUUCACCUUUCCUAUGGAUUGUGGCUCAACUGAUGCUGUCAAAUUUUUUUUAUCACAUAAGUCCUUUUGCU